ACAAUAAAUAUACGCAGUAUGCUUUUCUGAGAUAUUGAAUCAGGGUCACAAUUGGAACAGGGAGGUGAAGUCAGGAGAUUUUUGUUAGAUGAUGGAAAUUCUGCACAUCAACAGUGGACUGAAGAAGUUCGAUUCUUAAGCGGGAGAGAUGGAACUGGAUCUGGAGAUCAAAUGGACGGGUACAUAUGCACAUGAACGCAGAUGCACACAGAGGGAA